rnacentral:rRNA from 1 species
UCAAGAAACUUCCACAAUGGGCGAAAGCCUGAUGGAGCGACGUCGCGUGAUGGACGAAGUGCUUCGGCACGUAAACAUCUUUUAUGUGGGAUGAAAUUAUUGACAGUACCACAUGAAUAAGGGGCUCCUAACUCUGUGCCAGCAGGAGCGGUAAUACAGAGGCCCCAAGCGUUAUCCGGAAUCACUGGGCGUAAAGGGUGUCGAGGCGGUUGUAUUAGUCGUUCGUAAAAUCUACGAGCUUAACUUGUAGGCGGCGAACGAAACGGUACGACUUGAGGUUUGGAGAGGUGCGUGGAACUCACGGUGUAGGGGUGAAAUCCGUUGAUAUCGUGGGGAACACCAAAGGCGAAGGCAGCGCACUGGCCAAAAUCUGACGCUCACACACGAAAGCUAGGGUAGCGAACGGGAUUAGAUACCCAAGUAGUCCCUGAGCGGGCUGGCAAGGCGCAU